UUGUUGUUCUUAUAUUACCGGAUCUCUUGUUUCAGCAUAAACCACUGAACAUGGCUCAGUAUGCUCAGAAGAAGGUGGAGAUAGCAAAACAGUUGAAGCUGGACAAUGAGGUAUGCUAAUAACUGUAUUUAUUGUCAAAGUAAGGUUCUGUCCCGAGACAAAAAAAAAAAACCCAGUAACUUAUGUGCGUGCCAUUUUGCAGGAUGGAUUUGUUCCUUUUAGACCCUUUGAGUUCUGAAAGGGAAAGAGAUUUGUCCCAUUUGGCUUGAAAUGAGGCAUUAUUAUCUCAUAUUACAGCAAGACGGAAGUAAUACGAAGAUUGUAUCACAUACAUAACCAGCCCAGUCUGACAUUGUGGAUGAUUCUUGGCUCAUGUUUUAAAUUAGUGGACAUCCCCCGUUGUAAUGUUAUUCACUAGAGUGAUGCUUGGUUUGUUUUUCGCAUUUGUUUCUCAUUUGCCGUAAAACAUAGUAAGAUAGUGGUCGCAUGAUGAGCAGGUCUUUUUUGGACCUGUAUGAGUAACAAUAUACUAGUAUUAUGCAAUGGAUGUAUGCUGGAGUUGGAAGACCAUAAUUUUGAUUGUGGCAAAAAAUAUGCUUAGCAGUGCAAACAUGAUUGAUGAUGCUCGACUUGACAGAGUGAACCAAAC
rnacentral:lncRNA from 1 species